rnacentral:rRNA from 1 species
GGGAAUAUUGCACAAUGGGGGAAACCCUGAUGCAGCAAUGCCACGUGAGUGAGGAAGGCCCUCGGGUUGUAAAGCUCUGUCCUAUAGGAAGAAUGGCAUUAUGGUUAAUACCCAUAGUGUUUGACGGUACUAUAGAAGAAAGCACCGGCUAACUCCGUGCCAGCAGCCGCGGUAAUACGGAGGGUGCAAGCGUUGUUCGGAUUUACUGGGCGUAAAGCGCGCGCAGGCGGACUAGCAAGUCAGAUGUGAAAUCUCGGGGCUCAACCCCGAAACUGCGUCUGAAACUGUUAGUCUUGAGUAUCAGAGGGGGCAGGGGAAUUUCACGUGUAGGGGUAAAAUCCGUAGAGAUGUGAAGGAACACCGGUGGCGAAGGCGCCUGCCUGGAUGAUUACUGACGCUGAGGCGCGAAAGCGUGGGGAGCAAACA